CACCAGCCCCUCGAGUGGUGGGGAUGAUUAUUUGGCCUAAAGCGUCCGUAGCCGGCCGGGUAAGUCUCCCGUUAAAUCCAGCGUCUCAAGCGUUGGACUGCGGGAGAUACUGCCUGGCUAGAGAGUGGGAGAGGUGUACGGUAUUCUGGGGGUAGGGGCGAAAUCCUUUGAUCCCCGGAGGACCACCAGUGGCGAAGGCUGUACACUAGAACACGUCUGACGGUCAGGGACGAAAGCUGGGGUAGCGAACCGGAUUAGAUACCCGGGUAGUCCCAGCCGUAAACGAUGCAUGCUAGGUGUUAGGUUGGCCACGAGCCACCCCAGUGCCGCAGGGAAGCCGUUAAGCAUGCCGCCUGGGAAGUACGAUCGCAAGAUUGAAACUUAAAGGAAUUGGCGGGGGAGCACCACCAGGCGUGAAGCCUGCGGUUU
rnacentral:rRNA from 1 species